rnacentral:rRNA from 1 species
AACGAACGCUGGCGGCGUGGAUAAGACAUGCAAGUCGAACGGAACUACUUUUUAGUAGCAAUACCGAGAGUAGUUUAGUGGCGAACGGGUGCGUAACACGUGGGCAAUCUGCCGAGAAGUGGGGGAUGCUCGCCGAAAGGCGAAUUAAUACCGCAUGUGAUGAGAGGCGACAUCGUCUUGAAAUCAAAGCCGGGGCAACCUGGCGCUUUUUGAGGAGCCCGCGGCCAUCAGCUUGUUGGUGAGGUAACGGCUCACCAAGGCUUUGACGGGUAGCUGGUCUGAGAGGACGACCAGUCACACUGGAACUGAGACACGGUCCAGACACCUACGGGUGGCAGCAGUCGAGUAAUUUUUUC